rnacentral:rRNA from 1 species
CAGCCGCCGCGGGAAUACAGAGGGUGCGAGCGUUAAUCGGAUUUACUGGGCGUAAAGCGUGCGUAGGCGGCUUUUUAAGUCGGAUGUGAAAUCCCUGAGCUUAACUUAGGAAUUGCAUUCGAUACUGGGAAGCUAGAGUAUGGGAGAGGAUGGUAGAAUUCCAGGUGUAGCGGUGAAAUGCGUAGAGAUCUGGAGGAAUACCGAUGGCGAAGGCAGCCAUCUGGCCUAAUACUGACGCUGAGGUACGAAAGCAUGGGGAGCAAACAGGAUUAGAGACCCCUGUAGUCCCUGUCUCUUAUAA